rnacentral:rRNA from 1 species
CACUCCUGCGGGAGGCAGCAGUGGGGAAUUUUGGACAAUGGGCGAAAGCCUGAUCCAGCAAUGCCGCGUGAGUGAAGAAGGCCUUCGGGUUGUAAAGCUCUUUUGUCAGGGAAGAAACGGUGAAAGCUAAUAUCUUUUGCUAAUGACGGUACCUGAAGAAUAAGCACCGGCUAACUACGUGCCAGCAGCCGCGGUAAUACGUAGGGUACAAGCGUUAAUCGGAAUUACUGGGCGUAAAGCGUGCGCAGGCGGUUUUGUAAGUCUGAUGUGAAAUCCCCGGGCUCAACCUGGGAAUUGCAUUGGAGACUGCAAGGCUAGAAUCUGGCAGAGGGGGGUAGAAUUCCACGUGUAGCAGUGAAAUGCGUAGAUAUGUGGAGGAACACCGAUGGCGAAGGCAGCCCCCUGGGUCAAGAUUGACGCUCAUGCACGAAAGCGUGGGGAGCAAACAGGAUUAGAAACCCUUGUAGUCCCAUGAU